GAUGAACGCUGACAGAAUGCUUAACACAUGCAAGUCGAUGGGGAAGUGGUGCUUGCACCAUGGUAACCAUGGCGGACGGGUGAGUAACACGUAAGGAACUUACCUGCGGGACCGGGAUAACAGCAGGAAACUGCUGACAAGACCGGAUAAGGUCAUUAAGCUGCAUAGCUUAGUGAUGAAAGGAGACGCCUGCGGAGAGCCUUGCGUCCUAUUAGCUAGUUGGAGGGGUAACGGCCCACCAAGGCGAAGAUAGGUAGCCGGCCUGAGAGGGUGGACGGCCACAAGGGGACUGAGAUACGGCCCUUACUCCUACGGGAGGCAGCAGUGGGGAAUAUUGGACAAUGGGGGCAACCCUGAUCCAGCAAUUCUGUGUGCACGAAGACGGUUUUCGGAUUGUAAAGUGCUUUCAGCAGGGAAGAAGGAAGAGACGGUACCUGCAGAAGAAGCGACGGCUAAAUACGUG
rnacentral:rRNA from 1 species